UCACGACAAAUAGGGCAUGGAACUUUUUCCUUGAUCGGCCAUCCAGAUAUAUUUUCAUAUGCAGGAAAAUCAUGUAUUGUUUACAUUAAAAUAGCUUUUAAAUUGAAUGUAGACUUCAUAACUGCAUUAUACGCUCAACCAUAUCACUCCAUAACAACAUUAUCUCAGCUACAGGUGGUGCCAAAUAAACAUCUAUGUUAUUACCAUGCUGCUUUGGUCCCGAAAUCAAUAAACUCAACGUUAAACUUUCCUUUAACAUGUAUAAUGAGGGAGGCAAGUUCUAUAUAGUUAAAAUUACUGACCAAUUAGAGCUAAGAUCUUUGAAAGGACUAUAUCUAUCAGUAGCAAGACGUAAUAAAAUAUUUCGAGGAUCUAGCGCAAAAUGUGACACCUUUUGUUAAUUGUUUCUCAACUCAAUAAAUCAACCGGAUGCCUAAUUUUGUCGUCUAAACAUUUAUUACUUAAGAACCAUCUAAGUUGUAAUGCCAUCUCAUCUAUUCCGAACAUUCUCUUAAGUCUUGGUAUUAUAAGAAAAUAACGAAAGACUUUUGCUGGAAUUUUAUUCUCAAUUUUUUAGCCCUUUGGUUAUCUUUCCAUCUUAAGGAACCACAUGUUUGUCAUACCUCAGCAUGUUCAAGUUUCUUUCUAUAUGGACAACAAUCAUUAUAGCAAGCAUGUAUCUUCUUAUAGCCAAGCACAAAUGUAUUGACAAUUUUUUUAGCCUAUAAAAUGAGUUCAGAAAUGUAUUAUUCUUUGGCAACAUGUCUCGAACAAGAUUUAUUAGUUCAUCUAAACCCCUGUCUCAUAAACCAUGUGAACUUUAUGCUUAAAUAUAGUAAGAGAAGCUAACAUCUUCGUAAGUGCCUUACAACCAGAUAUAAAGGAGUUUCAGUAUCAUCAAUUAAACAUUCGAGCUCUUUCUUUCUUCUCUCAAGAGAAUUUUCAGAAUCUACAUUAUGUUAUGCAUAGAAGUCCUUUAACUUCCUAUUUCACUCGAGCAUUUCUACAUCGACCAAAUUUGUUUCAUUUGAUUGUUCUCCAUGAAAUAUCAAGACGAUGUAUGCAUCAUCCAUACCCUUAAUAACUAAAUGUUCGUAGACUAUAUCAUAAUGGCGAUGCAUUAGAUUCCUACACUUAACACAAUGGCAUAUUAUCAUUUUUGAAUUACAAUUUUCA
rnacentral:lncRNA from 1 species